rnacentral:rRNA from 1 species
AUAAUAAAUAGUUUCUUAAUUAGAAACUGGUAUGAAAGAUUGAAUAAAAUAUAAACUGUCUAAAAUUUAUUUUAUAAAAAUUAAAUUUUAAAUUAAAAUGUUUAAAUAUAUUUAAGGGACGAUAAGACCCUAUAGAUCUUUAUAAAAUUUUACUAUAUAAAUAUUUUUAUUAAAAAAUUUUAUAUGCUAAUUUUAUUUGACUGGGGUUGUUAAAAAAUUUAAAUAAAUUUUUUUUUAAAUUAACAUUAAUUAAUGAAAUUAAGUAAUAUAAAUUAUAUAAUAUAAAUAAGUUACCUUAGGGAUAACAGCGUAAUAAUCUUUAAUAGUUCCUAUUAAAAAGAUUGGUUGC